GUGGGGAAUUUUGGACAAUGGGCGAAAGCCUGAUCCAGCAAUGCCGCGUGUGUGAAGAAGGCCUUCGGGUUGUAAAGCACUUUUGUCCGGAAAGAAAUCUGUCUGGCUAAUACCUAGAUGGGAUGACGGUACCGGAAGAAUAAGCACCGGCUAACUACGUGCCAGCAGCCGCGGUAAUACGUAGGGUGCGAGCGUUAAUCGGAAUUACUGGGCGUAAAGCGUGCGCAGGCGGUUUUGUAAGACCGAUGUGAAAUCCCCGGGCUUAACCUGGGAACUGGAUUGGGGACUGCAAGGCUAGAGUGCGUCAGAGGGGGGUGGAAUUCCGCGUGUAGCAGUGAAAUGCGUAGAGAUGCGGAGGAACACCGAUGGCGAAGGCAGCCCCCUGGGAUGACACUGACGCUCAUGCACGAAAGCGUGGGGAGCAAACAGGAUUAGAAACCCGAGUAGUCC
rnacentral:rRNA from 1 species